UAGGGAAUCUUCGGCAAUGGGCGAAAGCCUGACCGAGCAACGCCGCGUGAGCGAUGAAGGCCUUCGGGUCGUAAAGCUCUGUUGUUAGAGAAGAACAAGUACGAGAGUAACUGCUCGUACCUUGACGGUACCUAACCAGAAAGCCACGGCUAACUACGUGCCAGCAGCCGCGGUAAUACGUAGGUGGCAAGCGUUAUCCGGAAUUAUUGGGCGUAAAGCGCGCGCAGGCGGUCUCUUAAGUCUGAUGUGAAAGCCCACGGCUCAACCGUGGAGGGUCAUUGGAAACUGGGAGACUUGAGUGCAGGAGAGAAAAGUGGAAUUCCACGUGUAGCGGUGAAAUGCGUAGAGAUGUGGAGGAACACCAGUGGCGAAGGCGGCUUUUUGGCCUGUAACUGACGCUGAGGCGCGAAAGCGUGGGGAGCAAACAGGAUUAGAUACCCUGGUAGUCCACGCCGUAAACGAUGAGUGCUAGGUGUU
rnacentral:rRNA from 1 species